UAAUCAUGACUGGAUUAAUAGUAUGCAUGGCUGUACAGCUAUUAUAUGCAUGCAGGGGAAAAGAUUAUGACUGCACAAAUCUGCACAAAUCAUAUCAGGACAUGGAGGACAUUUUUGUCCGUCCCUUCACACUAGCUGCAGGAUUUACAUUGAGAAUGAAUUAAAACAUUGUAACUUCAGAACAAUUGUAACCAACCAUCUUAUUCUGCAUGCUCGUAAAAAGUUUGUCUAACUGACAUAAAAAGCUGUCUCUGCCGUUUUGGAAGUAAGCGUGGGUGAUUUUUACUGUACUUUUACCAUAGGCUACCACUUCCUGAAAAUAUUUCUCUAAUUACAGGCAUGAGGAAACAUUUUGUAAGCCUGAGUAAUAUUGAACAGGAUAUGACCUAAGGGCACAGCAAAUCUAAGCUGCGUUUACCUGCCGAUUGGAGGGAACUAGUAUCCAGUGAGCCAGCACGUUUACCUAAGGUGUGAACCAGCUACACACUUCAUUACUUCAAAGGGCACAGUUAUUCACACCUCUACAGAAAUGUCUGAUAUGUUUAAAGUCGUUGUCACCAGGCAUUACUGUUAUUCGUAGCAAUGGCUCGAUCCUAAUGGGUAUGACGACUGCAACCAAACUUUUGGUGAAAGGGGCGUCUCUACUUUUAGGCUUCUGUGAAAACAUACAUUAAAAUUACAUAAUAAUAAGUUUUACAUCUCAUACGGGUAUACUAUUAUUUACCAGGAUUGCCAAAUAUUUUUGUUGGUACGUCUCUUUAAGCUCUUGUGGAGCCUUUGUGGAGCCUUCAUGUAGUCCAUAACAUUGUUUGCCUGUGGCCUGCUGACACUGUUAAAACUGGGGCGUAAAAAAUGCUGUAAACAACAGCCAAUUAUGGUGUAAAAUGGUGAACCCUGGGGUGUAAAAUAGUGACAGUCGUAUGGCCAGAGACCGGAAGUUGCAUGUAAAACAUAGGGCAGUUACUUAAAUAUGCAUUUCCAAUUACGUCAUGUUGGGGAGUAAACAAAAAACAGACUCUGACUUUGGAGGGCUUGACUUGGCAUUCAAUAGUCACAUGAUAGCAAGUGACUGUAGAAACAUGGAGGGUAUCAUCUGAGCUACUGAUUGAUACCAAGUUGAAGGUGUAGAAUCGUGCUGGAGCGAAGCUACAAGCCAGUAUAUGGAACAAGGGUGUUGUAGGUGCCUUUCCUCCUGCUUCUGUAUCUUUGGUUCCUCAACUGAUCACAACUUUAUAGCUGGCUAAUGUUGUUCAGAGUCUCCAAAGAUAUCACACAUGAGUUGGUUGACUUCAACGUCCAAGUGACUACCAUCGAUAUCACUGCUGACGUCGGACUGUUCAUCACUUGCACUUGCACUGUCACUCGCACUGUCAAUGUCUUCCUGCUCUGCUGCUAGAGCUUCAACAGGGAGUUACAGCGUGAUGAGGAGCAUCCUGUUUUACAGCCACAGCCUUUCCGAAUCAGCGCUACUUGUUGUCUGAUUCUAGACACAUUGCUUUCACUGUCCCAAUCUAUCAUGAGGGUGUUUGGAUCAGGCUUUUUCCAGCCGAAGUCUUCCAGUGGUGGAUGGACAAUGUUGUUUGAUGCCUGUUUGAUGCCGCUUGAUUCCAGACAGAUGAAACCCAGCUACUCCUCUUCCAAUGUCGAAGCAAUGCUUCAUGCGAGGGUGUCAUGUCCUCCUCGUACUGAAUUCUCGCCCAUAUUCUGUCUCGUAUAAGAUCAAGCCAUUGCUCAUGUCGUUGGUGAUUGCUAGCUGACUGGACUGAGUUGAACAAGGUCAUUGGAGUUGGAAAUGAAGGUGAGAAGCUAACAUCAUUAACAUUGCUCACAUCCCUCCUACAAAGCAAGCAGAUGCAGCUUUCUGGCUGUACAUUGAGAGAAGGCUCAGCGGCUUGGAGUUGCUGCAGCAGGGAAGGAUCUUUCCAGGAUUUGGGAUGGGAAAACUUGGACAGGUCUUUCUUCUUACACAGAACACAUUCUUCGCAUGAUCGGCCUGGAUGUACUGCUGAAGUUACAUGACGCGACUCUCUUCCAGCAUCUCUAGCAUCUCUAGCAGAUCUCAUAAAUUUUAUGUUGAUAGUUUUGUUGUUGUGUGCAUUGUUUUUAUAGCUUACCAUAAGUUGGACCAGUGGUGAAGAACUCUUGUAAAUACCAUGUGGCUGGUGUGUAAAGUACACCCACUUUGA